rnacentral:rRNA from 1 species
UACAGGGGGGGCAAGCGUUGUUCGGAAUUACUGGGCGUAAAGGGUCUGUAGGUGGCCAACUAAGUCAGACGUGAAAUCCCUCAGCUUAACUGGGGAACUGCGUCUGAUACUGGAUGGCUUGAGUGCGGGAGAGGAAUGCGGAAUUCCAGGUGUAGCGGUGAAAUGCGUAGAUAUCUGGAGGAACACCGGUGGCGAAGGCGGCAUUCUGGACCAUAACUGACACUGAGAGACGAAAGCCAGGGGAGCAAACGGG